AGACCACCACGUUGAUAGGCUGGAGGUGUAAGUGUGGCAACACAUUGAGCUGACCAGUACUAAUAGGCCGUGAGACUUGACCCU
rnacentral:rRNA from 1 species